AAACUCAAAGGAAUUGACGGGGGCCCGCACAAGCGGUGGAGUAUGUGGUUUAAUUCGAUGCAACGCGAAGAACCUUACCUGGUCUUGACAUCCCGGAGAUCUCCUGGAAACAGGAGAGUGCUUUCAUUAGAGAGAAUCCGGUGACAGGUGCUGCAUGGCUGUCGUCAGCUCGUGUCGUGAGAUGUUGGGUUAAGUCCCGCAACGAGCGCAACCCUCGCCAUUAGUUGCCAUCAUUUAGUUGGGCACUCUAAUGGGACUGCCGGUGUCAAACCGGAGGAAGGUGGGGAUGACGUCAAGUCCUCAUGGCCUUUAUGACCAGGGCUACACACGUACUACAAUGGCCGAAACAAAGGGCAGCCACAGAGCGAUCUGGAGCUAAUCCCGUAAAUUCGGUCUCAGUCCGGAUUGGAGUCUGCAACUCGACUCCAUGAAGUUGGAAUCGCUAGUAAUCGUGGAUCAGCAUGCCACGGUGAAUACGUUCCCGGGCCUUGUACACACCGCCCGUCACACCACGGGAGUCGGUUGUACCAGAAGUAGUUGAGCGAACCUUUCGGGGAAGCAGGCUACCAAGGUAUGGCUGGUAACUGGGGUGAAGUCGUAACAAGGUA
rnacentral:rRNA from 1 species